CUACGGGCCGCAGCAGUGGGGAAUAUUGCACAAUGGGCGCAAGCCUGAUGCAGCCAUGCCGCGUGUAUGAAGAAGGCCUUCGGGUUGUAAAGUACUUUCAGCGGGGAGGAAGGGAGUAAAGUUAAUACCUUUGCUCAUUGACGUUACCCGCAGAAGAAGCACCGGCUAACUCCGUGCCAGCAGCCGCGGUAAUACGGAGGGUGCAAGCGUUAAUCGGAAUUACUGGGCGUAAAGCGCACGCAGGCGGUUUGUGAAGUCAGAUGUGAAAUCCCCGGGCUCAACCUGGGAACUGCAUCUGAUACUGGUAAGCUUGAGUCUCGUAGAGGGGGGUAGAAUUCCAGGUGUAGCGGUGAAAUGCGUAGAGAUCUGGAGGAAUACCGGUGGCGAAGGCGGCCCCCUGGACGAAGACUGACGCUCAGGUGCGAAAGCGUGGGGAGCAAACAGGAUUAGAUACCCGCGUAGUC
rnacentral:rRNA from 1 species